CUAGCAUAUCAAUAAGCGGAGGAAAAGAAACCAACAGGGAUUGCCCUAGUAACGGCGAGUGAAGCGGCAACAGCUCAAAUUUGAAAUCUGGCUCUUUUAGGGUCCGAGUUGUAAUUUGCAGAGGGCGCUUUGGCUUUGGCAGCGGUCCAAGUUCCUUGGAACAGGACGUCACAGAGGGUGAGAAUCCCGUACGUGGUCGCUAGCUAUCGCCGUGUAAAGCCCCUUCGACGAGUCGAGUUGUUUGGGAAUGCAGCUCUAAAUGGGAGGUAAAUUUCUUCUAAAGCUAAAUAUUGGCCAGAGACCGAUAGCGCACAAGUAGAGUGAUCGAAAGAUGAAAAGCACUUUGGAAAGAGAGUCAAACAGCACGUGAAAUUGUUGAAAGGGAAGCGCUUGCAGCCAGACUUGCUUGCAGUUGCUCAUCCGGGCUUUUGCCCGGUGCACUCUUCUGUAGGCAGGCCAGCAUCAGUUUGGGCGGUGGGAUAAAGGUCUCUGUCACGUACCUCUCUUCGGGGAGGCCUUAUAGGGGAGACGACAUACCACCAGCCUAGACUGAGGUCCGCGCAUCUGCUAGGAUGCUGGCGUAAUGGCUGUAAGCGGCCCGUCUUGAAACACGGACCAAGGAGUCUAACAUCUAUGCGAGUGUUUGGGUGUCAAGCCCGAGCGCGUAAUGAAAGUGAACGGAGGUGGGAACCCGCAAGGGUGCACCAUCGACCGAUCCUGAAGUUUUCGGAAGGAUUUGAGUAAGAGCAUGGCUGUUGGGACCCGAAAGAUGGUGAACUAUGCUUGAAUAGGGUGAAGCCAGAGGAAACUCUGGUGGAGGCUCGCAGCGGUUCUGACGUGCAAAUCGAUCGUCAAAUUUGGGCAUAGGGGCGAAAAACUAAUCGAACUAUCUAGUAGCUGGUUCCUGCCGAAGUUCCCUCGGA
rnacentral:rRNA from 1 species